GGCGCUCAAAACCCAGUGUCACUCAAUUUCUACCAUUGUUAAAGAGCUUUUCGGCGAUGACCCUUUGAUCUUAUCCUUCAAUGGAGCUUCGUCCCAGACACAGGCAACCAUUUUCUGGCUUUACAGAAGCGGAGAUUGAGAAAAUGGAGAACGAACUUAAGCAAUCAGAAGAACAUGAUUUUGACCAACAUUUCUGCAAGAAAUUGGCAGGGGCUUUCAGUCACUCUAAAGGUCGUGCAGGAAAACCAAUCGUGAAAUGGACUGAGGUCCAAACUUGGCUCCAGAAUAGGCAGAAAAGCUGUCUCUCAAAGUAUAAUUCAGCAGAGGCUAAGAGGAAAC
rnacentral:misc_RNA from 1 species